AGCAGCAGCCACGGGAAUACGAAGGGUGCAAGCGUUAAUCGGAAUUACUGGGCGUAAAGCGUGCGUAGGCGGUUUGUUAAGUCUGCUGUGAAAUCCCCGGGCUCAACCUGGGAAUGGCAGUGGAUACUGGCAAGCUAGAGUGUGUCAGAGGAUGGUGGAAUUCCCGGUGUAGCGGUGAAAUGCGUAGAGAUCGGGAGGAACAUCAGUGGCGAAGGCGGCCAUCUGGGACAACACUGACGCUGAGGCACGAAAGCGUGGGGAGCAAACAGGAUUAGAUACCCCAGUAGUCCCUGUCUCUUAUAC
rnacentral:rRNA from 1 species